CACUGUCCUCAGCUCUGUCCACUGCACUGUCCUCAACUGUAUCCACAGCACUGCAAACAUCUCUGUCCACAGCACUGUCCUCAACACUGUCCACAGCUGUAUGUUCAGUGUCUGUGUGUCUCUAUAGCUGUGAGUGGUGCUAAGUGAGGUAAUAUUAUAUUUUUAUGUUUCCAGGGCAUGGUGGCUGUGUCCGGCAGCCUGUCUGUCCUCCUGGACUCUAUCCUCUGUGCUCUGGGGCCGCUCACCUGUCUCACUGCCCAGGUCCCGGAGCUCAACUCCUGCCCUCGACACGUCCUGUCCAACACUCUGGACAACAUCGCCUAUGUCAUGCCCGGACUGUGACGGCAGCCGCGGUACCCAGCAGGCCUGAGUGGACUCGAUCUGGGUCGCGAAGGAAGGAGUUGGCAAGACGGGCACAUGGCGGGAGUACCCAGAAUCCACUGGGGCCUCUGGAAGAAGAGCCUCUGUUUUAAUUCUGUUCUUAAAAAGUCUCUAUUCGUUUGUUUUUUAAUUAAAACUCUUUUAGUGAAGCUGUGCUGUGUGUUAGUGGAUCUUCACCUGGUUCCUGGUUCUUUCUGUUUUUGUUGGCGUGACCUGUGACCGCCAGUUAUGUUCAGAGGUGUUUUAUGGGAGACCUGUGAUCUCUGUCCCCUGUCAGUCUCGGGGCUGGGGGUUUGGGCCUGUCCCCUGUCAGUCUCUGCAGGCUCAUACCAGGCUCCCACAGGGCUGCAGGUCCAAGCUUGUUUGCAGGGAGAUGGCCCUCCCUCCUGUGCAAUUUGCCUUUGGGAAUAAAAGUACAGUUUCCAGCCAGAUGAGUUUCAAUACAACUGAUGCAACUUGUUU
rnacentral:lncRNA from 1 species